CAUCCUGUCGUGCCGUUAAACUGCCUCAAGAGCCUCCUUGUUCCCUCGGCUUAGUCCCAAGCGACCUGAAGGUGAGGGUCAUUGUCCUCCACCUCGUGUCUGGAAAAGCCCCCAACACAAGUCUGGUCACGGUAAACAUGCCCCUUUCCUUUUCCUAAAACUCGCGCCCCCAGCACAACACGCACACACACGAUGCCUGCGCGUCCACAGCACAGGCGUAGUGAGCUGGUGACGAUGAGUCUGGAGCCACAGCUCGAACCCCCGUUUGGAGAGGCAGCUUUCCCGUAAUUGAAAGGACUUGUGGAAAGUCCUGGGUUCAAAUGGGAGUCCAGCUACUGAAGAGUUUUAGGAAAUGUGUUCAAGACCUAACAAAACGUUUAGACCGUAAUGAUGACAUCGUACAACUUGGAGAUUUCACAGAUGAGAAAAGUGAGGCCUGGAGAGAGGAAGUGACUUGUCAUGAGAGGAGAGAGAGGUGAAAUCUUUCCCAGGUCCGCUCACCACCACUGUGUGGGCUCUGUCUCAGAAUGUUAGCUGCGUGAGAUGGAGAUUUCUAUCUGUCUUGUUCAGUGUGCCGUCUUCCCAAUCCCCAGCAGAGGCCUGGAACUGUGUGAACGUUUACUAAAUAACUGUUGAAUUGAAUUAACCUCCUGGGGAUGCAGAGGUGGAAGUGACCUUGGAAGAUAAAUUUCAUCUGUCCCCCUGCCACCAAGCUGGACUCAGGGGCCUGCGUGGGUGUGUCUAUUCCGUGAGAAUCUCUCAGCAGCAAUCAAGAUUCUUGACAUCUUUAAAAAAUACAGUGGUUUUGAUCACGACCAAGAUCUGCACACUUUC